rnacentral:rRNA from 1 species
UACGUAGGCAGCGAGCGUUGUUCGGAAUUACUGGGCGUAAAGAGUGUGUAGGCGGUGUUCUAAGUCUGGUGUGAAAUCUCCCGGCUCAACUGGGAGGGUGCGCCGGAAACUGGAAUGCUUGAGGGUGGGAGAGGUAAGCGGAAUUCCUGGUGUAGCGGUGAAAUGCGUAGAUAUCAGGAGGAACACCUGUGGUGUAGACAGCUUACUGGACCACUUCUGACGCUGAGACACGAAAGCGUGGGUAGCAAACAGG